GAUGAACGCUAGCGGCAGGCCUAAUACAUGCAAGACGAACGGUAAGUUGAGUAGCAAUACUUGACCUAGAGUGUCGUACGGGUGCGUAACACGUAUGCAACCUACCCAUAACAGGAGGAUAGCUCCCCGAAAGGGGAAUUAACCCUCCAUAGUAAUAUUGAAUGGCAUCAUUUGGUAUUUAAAACUCCGGUGGUUAUGGAUGGGCAUGCGUCUGAUUAGUUAGUUGGCGGGGUAACGGCCCACCAAGGCGAUGAUCAGUAGGGGAACUGAGAGGUUGAUCCCCCACACUGGCACUGAGAUACGGGCCAGACUCCUACGGGAGGCAGCAGUAGGGAAUAUUGGUCAAUGGAUGGAAGUCUGAACCAGCCAUGCCGCGUGCAGGAAGAAGGCCUUAUGGGUUGUAAACUGCUUUUGCCAGGGGAUAAAAUAGCUGUGCGCAGCGAAUUGCAGGUACCUGGUGAAUAAGCCACGGCUAACUACGUGCCAGCAGCCGCGGUAAUACGUAGGUGGCAAGCGUUGUCCGGAUUUAUUGGGUUUAAAGGGUGCGUAGGCGGCCCUGUAAGUCAGUGGUGAAAUACUCCAGCUUAACUGGAGGGGUGCCAUUGAUACUGCAGGGCUUGAGUGGAGUAGAAGUAGGCGGAAUUGACGGUGUAGCGGUGAAAUGCUUAGAUAUCGUCAAGAACACCGAUAGUGAAGACAGCUUACUAUGCUUCAACUGACGCUGAGGCACGAAAGUGUGGGGAUCAAACAGGAUUAGAUACCCUGGUAGUCCACACUGUAAACGUUGAUGACUCGCUGUUGGCGAUACACAGCCAGCGGCCAAGCGCAAGCGAUAAGUCAUCCACCUGGGGAGUACGCCAGCAACGGUG
rnacentral:rRNA from 1 species